rnacentral:lncRNA from 1 species
UCGUCUGGGAGUGGCUGCUGCUUCGCCUGGAGUCGCCGCCGGCUGGAGUUGCUGCUGUUCGUCCGGUGGUCAGUGCCGACUGCUGCUGUUUCGCCGGAGUCGCGGCCUGCUGGACUUCGUCUGCCGCUGCUCUGUGAACCGGCGGGAGUCGCCGUUGGCGUCGCGCUGCCUUUGCCCUAAAAUUGGCAAGGCUGUUGCUCGACGCUCCGCCUCCUCUAUUGGGAACUACCGCCUCCCUGUAACGUCGUUGGAAGCUGCUCCGUACUCGAGCCCCUGCUCUUCUUCCUCAGAAAUCAGCCGUCGCCGCCACUGAAGAAUCGGCGAGGUCUCCGUGCUCCCCUCAUUGUUUUCGUCCGGCAGGUAGCAAGCCAGAGGCUGCCACCGCCACCGCC